UACGGAGGGUGCAAGCGUUAUCCGGAUUCACUGGGUUUAAAGGGUGCGUAGGUGGGCAGGUAAGUCCGUGGUGAAAUCUCUGAGCUUAACUCAGAAACUGCCGUGGAUACUAUUUGUCUUGAAUAUUGUGGAGGUGAGCGGAAUAUGUCAUGUAGCGGUGAAAUGCUUAGAUAUGACAUAGAACACCAAUUGCGAAGGCAGCUCGCUACACAAUUAUUGACGCUGAGGCACGAAAAGCGUGGGGGAGUCAAACAGGA
rnacentral:rRNA from 1 species